CAGUCACAUCACGCUGAAAACCCCGGUUUCCGUGCGAUCACUGAAGUUAAGAAUCGCCGAUCACGGUCAGUAAUUGGAUGGGGGACAACUUGCGAACACC